GACGAACGCUGGCGGCGUGCCUAAUACAUGCAAGUCGAACGCUUCUUUCCUCCCGAGUGCUUGCUCUCAAUUGGAAAGAGGAGUGGCGGACGGGUGAGUAACACGUGGGUAACCUACCCAUCAGAGGGGGAUGACACUUGGAAACAGGUGCUAAUACCGCAUAACAGUUUAUGCCGCAUGGCAUAAGAGUGAAAGGCGCUUUCGGGUGUCGCUGAUGGCUGGACCCGCGGUGCAUUAGCUAGUUGGUGAGGUAACGGCUCACCAAGGCCACGAUGCAUAGCCGACCUGAGAGGGUGAUCGGCCACACUGGGACUGAGACACGGCCCAGACUCCUACGGGAGGCAGCAGUAGGGAAUCUUCGGCAAUGGACGAAAGUCUGACCGAGCAACGCCGCGUGAGUGAAGAAGGUUUUCGGAUCGUAAAACUCUGUUGUUAGAGAAGAACAAGGACGUUAGUAACUGAACGUCCCCUGACGGUAUCUAACCAGAAAGCCACGGCUAACUACGUG
rnacentral:rRNA from 1 species